UUGGGAUUUGGAUCAACAUUU
rnacentral:piRNA from 1 species